rnacentral:lncRNA from 1 species
UGGAAUACUGCUAUUCUCAAGGUAUAUUGAAACUUAUUAAGAAAUUGCGCGGCUUGUGGUUCAUUUAGAACCAUGUGUGUGUGUGUGUAUAUAUAUAUAUGAAUUUAUUUUUGUUAAUUUCCUAAUACAUUUUUUUGACAGCAGAUUGGUAGCUUUACUACCUCAUUCAUUUUGAGACGUGGAAGAAAUGACUCUGUCAUCUUUACACUAAAUUUAGAAGUAGGUGUUCAAUCACCUAUAAUUUUUUUAAAGCAAUUAGCGUAUAUUCUCACAUAUAUUUUUUUUAUUUUUCUAUGAAGGCACCUGAGUGGGUUAACUGUGUGGAGAACAAUGUUCCUUCGUGGCUCAGUGCUCUACUUUUCAAAAGUACUUUGAAAAAUGAGUUAAGAGAGAUUUGUCGCAACCAUGGAAAGAGCGAAAGCUCUUUCUUUUGUUUGGAUUGUCACACUGCGAUUUGCUUGCAAUGUCUCCGCGAAGCACAUCAAGAACACAAAAAUAUCCGGGUACAAAAUUUUAGUGUAUUUAAAGUGUUUUUUCAAACCAUUAACUCACCUUUUUCUUAUGUAUAUAGGUGUACAAGAUAAAUGGAAGACUUUCAGUAAAGAAAUCUGUUGUUUUUGACUUUGAUCUCAGCGAUGUUCUUGUAUGUUUUUACCAAACAUUUAAUUAUAUGUACUUGUAAAUACUUCAUAUUUUUCUAACAUAAAUUUUUGAACUAUUGUUUGUUACCCACAAGAUGGAAACAGUAUAUUUGUUUCCAUCUGGCGGGAGAGUGGUGAAAGGAGCAGAAUCAUGUAAAUUCUGUGUUAAAACAAUGAGGUCAUGCAGGAAACAUGCAGAUUUCUGUUCCCUUCGAUGCAAAGUAAGCAGUUUUUUUAAUAGUUAAUUCUUUUAUAUUAGUAAAUUUUAAUGUUAUAUUUCUAUCUUAUAUAUUUGGUAGAGUUCUAAUUUUUAAUGUUUUACUUUUGUUUUAAAUGCUUUGUAGGUGUCAUGUUGGGCACGAUCUUUUGUCGAGGCCAAGGCUUUGUCCUGUGGGCCGGUUUCGAACGUCAAACCUCGCCGUAAAAACAUUUAGAUUAAUAAGCAUUUAGAGAUGAUUUUAAAUUGUUGUUUGUUCACAUUUUUUUUUUUUCUUUACAAUUAUUUGUCUGAUUCUUGUAGGCCAUAGCUGUCCUCCGAUCCACCAUAAGCAUAACAGGAAAGACGGAAAUGAGGCUCAGGAAGAGUUCUGAGAAAAUUUUAUUUCAUAUUUGAUAUACAUGAACUUACCAAUAGUCAGUGAAUGAUACAAUUUUUUGUUAGUUGGAUAAUAGAUGCGCUAUCUAGCUAUCGGUUGUGUUCCUGUUUCUGUUUCUUUGCUAUAUCGNNNNNNNNNNNNNNNNNNNNNNNNNCCAAAGAGAGAGAUAUCUUUUUGCAGGAGAAGGAAAAUAUCUGAAAUGUCUAGGCAGCGACUUUCUUGGGAUAAUGGGUGACAUCAAAUAUGAUGUACGAUUAGUUUUUAUGAACGUUGAUAUUGUGUUUGUUAAUCUUUUUCAUAAGUUUUAAAAUCCUGUCAUGUUUUUAUAGGAUUCGUUUGCUGGUGAGUCUGUUUUGUGCAUCAUGAUGUUGCUCUCGAGGCUUAUAAAGCGUUCUGAGAUAAUUGAUGACUGAAAGAAGAGUCAAUUACAUUGGUGCGUGUUCAUUGUUUAGUUAUAAUGUUGCUCUAAUUAUUUUGUAUUAGUAUUUACUAAGAUUUGCUUAUUUGUUUGGUAGGAAGAUGCCGACUGUUAAUGCGCUUUGUGUGCAACAUUGGGAUUUCGUUAGAGGAUGCUUAUCUCAAUUGUGAUGAAACUAUGUAUAAGCAUAAAUACAAAUUAAUAUUCGUUUAGUAUAUGUUAAUGGCGUAAUUUCUUAUAUUUUUAUUUUGUUUUGUCAGGAAGAAAAGUGAUACUGAUCGUUUGGCACUAACACGAGUGUUAUGCAGGACCACCGUGGGCUGGACCGAAAAGAUGACACUAUGAUACAGAGGAAAACGAACGUAGAGGUAUUUGUUAGUAAUGAAAAAAUAUUAUUCUUAGCAAUAUCGAUACGUCAUUCCUAAUUUUGAUUAUUAAUUUCAAACAAUGAAUGAUCGUAUUUACUGGUGCUACGUGGACUUACUGAAUUGAGCUGGUCGUUUUCGAGAUUCAGAAAAUAAGCCAAUGCAGGAAAGAUUAUUUUAAAUUUAGGGAUAUUGUUCCAACUCCUUAAACUUGUAUAUUUAUUCCUAUAAAUUUUAAUUCUCAAUAUUUUCCUCCAAACCUUUUAACUUCAAUUGAAUUUGAAUUUGAUUUAUUUUUUUUUCUUUCAAGUUGAAUUCUGAACAGCAAAUUAAAAACUUAAAUUGAAUUCCAACUUUUCCCCAAGUUUUGAAUUUGAAUUUUAUUUGGAAUUAAAAAUUCGAAGUAAAUUGUAGAUAGUUUUAUGUUUUAAUUUGCCAAGCUCAAAUUUAUAUUUUAAAUUGUACUUACUGUUUCAAAAUUUUAAUCUUAAUUAUAAUGUUUUUAGUUUAAAUUUAAAUUACAAUUAUAAAUCUAAUUUCUGUAAAUUUCUCUAGCAGAUGCUUAUAUAUAUGAAAAUAAAGAAACCUUAAAAUGCCCAAAAGAAAUAAGGAUAAUGCUAAAUACCAAUCAAAAUACCUUUUGAUUAAUUAGGCAGGUAGCUCGCUAGCUGGUUUUCAACACAGGUUUGACUAUACCCUUUGUUAAUUUACAGAUAGGGUUAUAGUCAUUUGCACAGAAGUAUAGCUUUAGUAUUAGACUAGCAACUGACCUGUGCAAUUUAAGAGUUAUAACAAUACUUUAAGAAAAUUUUAAUUAGUAUAUUUAUUUUUAAAUGUAUAAUAUAUGUAAUAUAAUUUUUAUGAAUGUUUAUAAAUAAAAUUUAAAUUUGUUUUUACAUGUAAAAAAGAAAAAAAAUUCUGGUGUUCUAUGCUGUUUACAUAAUACUAUUUUUUUUUCUAUUUUCAUUUUAAAACUAAAAAAAUUUCACUUAAUUAAUACGAAUUAAUUAAUUUUAUGAAUAUAAUUCUUAACAUUGAUUUGUAAUAAUUCUUUAUAAGUUAUAUGCAUUUAAUUACAAUGGUCAUUAAAUUAUUCAAAUUAAUUUAAUAACCUAUAUUGAAAAGAAAAAUUUUAUAGUUUAAAUAAAUUUUUUCUCUUAUAACUAAUUGUUUUGCUAUCAAUUUUGUUUUAAGUUUAACCUAUAUUGACUGUUAUAUAUAUUUAAUUAUUAUGAGUCAUUAAGUUAUUCAAAUUAGUAGCAGAAAAGUUUUAAAGUUUGAAUGGAAAAAAAUUCUCUUAUAACUAAUAGUCAAUUACUCUAUUUUAAUAGAAUAGAAAAUGAAAGGAUAUGAGUUUCAAUCUUAACAUUAGUGAGAAAACAAACUUAACUAAAGAAUAUUAAAUUAUGACUACUAACAUAAAUUGAAGCUUUUAAGUAUUCGUAUAAAUGAGUAAUAGUAAUAUUUUAAUUAAGUCGUUAAGAAAACUAUUAAAUUUUUUGAUAAUUUUUUAAGUAUUCGUAUAAAUUAGCGAAACUAUAAAAUUUUUGAUAAUUUUUAAGUGUUUGUAUAAAUUGACUUAUAAGAAUAGUUUAAUUAGUUGGAAGAAAACUAUAAAAAGUUUUAUAUAUAUAUAUAUAUAUAUAUAUAUAUUAUAAUUCUGAAAUACUGCUAUUCUCAGGUAUAUUGAAAACUUAAUUAUAGAAAUUGCGCGGCUUGUGGUUCAUUUAGAACAUGUGUGUGUGUGUGGUAUAUAUAUAUAUGAAUUUAUUUUUGUUAAUUUCCUAAUACAUUUUUUUGACAGCAGAUUGGAGCUUUACUACCUCAUUCAUUUUGAGACGUGGAAGAAAUGACUCUGUCAUCUUUACACUAAAUUUAGAAGUAGGUGUUCAAUCACCUAUAAUUUUUUUAAAGCAAUUAGCGUAUAUUCUCACAUAUAUUUUUUU